rnacentral:rRNA from 1 species
UCCGUAGGGGCCUAGCGUUGUCCGGCAUCAUUGGGCGUAAAGAGCUCGUAGGCGGUUCGGCACGUCACGUGUGAAAUCUCCACGCUUAACGUGGAGGCGCCACGUGAAACUGCCGUGACUCGAGUCCGGUAGGGGAGUGUGGAAUUCCCGGUGUAGCGGUGAAAUGCGCAGAUAUCGGGAGGAACACCAGUAGCGAAGGCGGCACUCUGGGCCGGUACUGACGCUGAGGAGCGAAAGCGUGGGGAGCGAACAGG